AUUAAGCCAUGCAUGUCUAAGUAUAAGCAAUUAUACAGCGAAACUGCGAAUGGCUCAUUAUAUAAGUUAUCGUUUAUUUGAUAGUACCUUACUACUUGGAUAACCGUGGUAAUUCUAGAGCUAAUACAUGCUGAAAAUCCCGACUUCGGAAGGGAGGUAUUUAUUAGAUUAAAAACCAAUGCCCUCUGGGCUCCUUGGUGAUUCAUAAUAACUUUUCGAAUCGCACGGCCUUGCGCCGGCGAUGGUUCAUUCAAAUUUCUUCCCUAUCAACUUUCGAUGUUUGGGUAUUGGCCAAACAUGGUCGCAACGGGUAACGGAGGGUUAGGGCUCGACCCCGGAGAAGGAGCCUGAGAAACGGCUACUACAUCCAAGGAAGGCAGCAGGCGCGCAAAUUACCCAAUCCCGAUUCGGGGAGGUAGUGACAAUAAAUACUGAUACAGGGCUCUUUUGGGUCUUGUAAUUGGAAUGAGUACAAUUUAAAUCUCUUAACGAGGAACAAUUGGAGGGCAAGUCUGGUGCCAGCAGCCGCGGUAAUUCCAGCUCCAAUAGCGUAUAUUAAAGUUGUUGUGGUUAAAAAGCUCGUAGUUGAACCUUGGGCCUGGCUGGCCGGUCCGCCUCACCGCGUGUACUGGUCCGGCCGGGCCUUUCCCUCUGUGGAACCUCAUGCCCUUCACUGGGUGUGGCGGGGAAACAGGACUUUUACUUUGAAAAAAUUAGAGUGCUCCAGGCAGGCCUAUGCUCGAAUACAUUAGCAUGGAAUAAUAAAAUAGGACGCGUGGUUCUAUUUUGUUGGUUUCUAGGACCGCCGUAAUGAUUAAUAGGGACAGUCGGGGGCAUCAGUAUUCAAUUGUCAGAGGUGAAAUUCUUAGAUUUAUUGAAGACUAACUACUGCGAAAGCAUUUGCCAAGGAUGUUUUCAUUAAUCAGGAACGAAAGUUAGGGGAUCGAAGACGAUCAGAUACCGUCGUAGUCUUAACCAUAAACUAUGCCGACUAGGGAUCGGACGAUGUUAUUUUUUGACGCGUUCGGCACCUUACGAGAAAUCAAAGUGCUUGGGCUCCAGGGGGAGUAUGGUCGCAAGGCUGAAACUUAAAGAAAUUGACGGAAGGGCACCACCAGGGGU
rnacentral:rRNA from 1 species